rnacentral:rRNA from 1 species
UACGUAGGGGGCAAGCGUUGUCCGGAAUCAUUGGGCGUAAAGCGCGUGUAGGCGGUUCGAUAAGUCUGCUGUGAAAGUCCAGGGCUCAACCCUGGGAUGCCGGUGGAUACUGUCGGACUAGAGUACGGAAGAGGCGAGUGGAAUUCCCGGUGUAGCGGUGAAAUGCGCAGAUAUCGGGAGGAACACCAAUGCGAAGGCAGCUCGCUGGGACGUCGACUGACGCUGAGACGCGAAAGCGUGGGGAGCA